UACGAAGGGGGCUAGCGUUGUUCGGGAUUACUGGGCGUAAAGCGCACGUAGGCGGAUAUUUAAGUCGGGGGUGAAAUCCCGGGGCUCAACCCCGGAACUGCCUUCGAUACUGGGUAUCUUGAGUUCGGAAGAGGUGAGUGGAAUUGCGAGUGUAGAGGUGAAAUUCGUAGAUAUUGGGAAGAACACCGGUGGCGAAGGCGGCGACCUGGUCCGAUACUGACGCUGAGGCGCGAAAGCGUGGGGAGCAAACAGG
rnacentral:rRNA from 1 species